rnacentral:snRNA from 1 species
GAAUGUGAGGGUGAUCUGGCUGUGAGAUCUGUCACCCCACUGAUCACCAGGGUUGAUUCAGGUGAUCUGGCUGGCUAGGUGGGUGUCCUCUUCCUCAACGCUCCAUGUGCAUCCCUCCCAAAGCUGUGCGCUCGGCUGAAGAGGAUGACCACCCCUCAUCCCCAUCCCCCAUCCCGAUAGAGGAGGACCGUUCCUCGGUCAAGGGUAUAUGAGUAGCUGCGCUUCCCUGCUAGAGCCACCAAAUAAGCUCUCAAGAACUUUAUAAGCCCUAGGCACAUUUACAUACCAUAUUCAUUCAUUCCACAAAUAUUUGAGCUCUGGGCCAGUCAGCCUAUUAUA